ensembl:lncRNA
GUCGUUAUUUAUUUUUUGAAUAUUGUUUCUGUAAAUGAAUAAUGACAUAAGUCCUUGGUCCGUGUAUCUUUUGGUCAUUGGAUUUUCCUUUCAGAAACGGAUAUCAAAAAACAAAAAACAAGUGGUUAUUUGAUUUUUGUUUUAAAAUACAAAAUUUAAAACUAAAAUACAAAGCGUUUCUCUUUUUCAGUGUCAAAAAGAGAUGAGCGAAAUUUUAAAAAUGAUUUGAAUUUCAAUUUCUAUUUCGGAUAUCAAAAAAUAAAGUUACUUUAAAACAGAAACGAAAAAAAGGCCCGUUUGUUCAUAUUCCGAGACCGGAUGUGGUUAGCACUCACGUGACAAGACCGCCACAUUUGACAGAGUGACAGUCUGCUUAGCCCAGAAUAAAAUGUCUUUGGAAACUUACUCCGUUAUGAUUUUAGACAUGGCAAAACAAGGCCUGUCAUCCACAGAAAUCUCAGCGCAGAUAUCACAAGUAAAUGGGGGAGCAAGAGGAUGUUCCGCAAGAAACGUGAGGAGAUUUUGCAGUGAAAAUGGAUUAAGUUUGAUGGGACUCCCUGACGCACAUUUGGAGUUGGAGGUGGCAAAAGCUACAACUGAGACUGGACCUACAUAUGGAAGAAAGAUGAUGAAGGGGUAUCUCGCCAUGAAAGGAGUGCAUGCUGCAGAAACACGAAUUGGAUCAGCGCUCAGAACUAUGCAUCAGCCAUACCAUGAAGCAAGACGUCAGGGUGCCCGCAAUCUCAACCCCAUACCCUAUCAAGCUGAUUACAUGGGUCAAAAGGUUCAUAUGGACCAAAACGAAAAACUGGCUAUGUUUGGGGUUACCCAUGUUUUAGCCAUUGAUGGCUUCAGCAAAAAGAUUGUUGCUCAUUCUACAAUGCCUAUAAAAAACAACCUUGCCAUCUAUGAAGAUGUUUUCAGGCCUGCAGUACUUGCCUAUGAUAUGUGGGACCAGGUACGAGUAGAUCAUGGCAAGGAGUUUUAUUUGACGCUUUUCAUGCAGGAGCUGCUGUCAUCUCACCGCCAUAAUCAGGAGCGAAGGCCAUAUUUACAGACUUCAUCCACAAAGAAUCAUAUAGUUGAACGAAUCUGGCCUGAAGUCAACAAUCGUGUCAACUCUCCACUGAAGACAGCACUUAUGGGGUUGGUGGAUCAAGAGGAAAUAGACAUGAACGACAGCCUUGUGAGAUAUUGUGUGUCCAACCUUACUGGCCGCUUGUGUGAGAUUGGUCUUACAAGGCUGGUGGAGUCAUGGAAUGCUCAUAGAAUUCCAGGUAAAGGAACACCAAAUGACUUGGCUGGCCGUGGGUGUCCCAAAAAAAUCCAACAGGAGCUGUUGCCUCAUUCAGCUGAAGCAGCAGACCUUUACAGCCAACAGCUGGGAUCAUCACUGACCAGGCAUUCAACUUUUGGAGUUGAUCCAUUUUCAACUGAACAGGACAAGAUUACAGUUGAGAACCAGUUUGCCGAGCAUUAUUCAGAACUGUACUCUAGAGCAGUGAACAAUGACUUUGCCCCAUACAAACAGGCAUUGCUCUGUCUUAUAACCACAACUCAGUGCAAUGUGUGA